UCUGGCUGCAGUGGUUCUCCACAUGCUCUCCUUUGAUGUUUUUUUAACUUUGGUGUUCAGUUUGACAACUGUUCAUGCCAGGCGUAAAUGGAAGCGUGAGAAUGUAGACUUGAAGAGAACAACAUCUCAGCUUCAAAGGGAGGUCCAGGUGAAGGAGCAGGACAAUAAAGACACCACAGAAACACUGAUGGAGGUGAAGACUAAUCUGGAGUCAUGGAUGGACCAACUCAGAGCCACACUGGAGGCCAUGGAGGCUGAGAGAGCAGAAAACAAACAGAAACUUCAGUCUGUGGAGAAGGAGAUCACACAGAAAGACAUAACUAUUGACAAAUCUGAGAAAUUAAUAAUAAUGAAAGAAAACCUGC